rfam:Myotis lucifugus cont2.5459, whole genome shotgun sequence.
GACAGUUCUUGGGUGACACACCCCAGAACCAGAGAGGAGGGAGCCUGAUUCCAGGGUGCAUCACCCAAGAACUGCC